rnacentral:rRNA from 1 species
GAUGAACGCUGGCGGCGUGCCUAAUACAUGCAAGUCGAGCGAACAGACGAGGAGCUUGCUCCUCUGACGUUAGCGGCGGACGGGUGAGUAACACGUGGCUAACCUACCUAUAAAACUGGGAUAACUUCGGGAAACCGGAGCUAAUACCGGAUAAUAUAUUGAACCGCAUGGUUCAAUAGUGAAAGACGGUUUUGCUGUCACUUAUAGAUGGAUCCGCGCCGCAUUAGCUAGUUGGUAAGGUAACGGCUUACCAAGGCGACGAUGCGUAGCCGACCUGAGAGGGUGAUCGGCCACACUGGAACUGAGACACGGUCCAGACUCCUACGGGAGGCAGCAGUAGGGAAUCUUCCGCAAUGGGCGAAAGCCUGACGGAGCAACGCCGCGUGAGUGAUGAAGGUCUUCGGAUCGUAAAACUCUGUUAUUAGGGAAGAACAAAUGUGUAAGUAACUAUGCACGUCUUGACGGUACCUAAUCAGAAAGCCACGGCUAACUACGUG